rnacentral:sRNA from 1 species
CGUCCACAAGUUCAGAGCCAUGCUGGGGAAGAACCGGCUCAUCUUUCCAGGAGAGAAGGUGCUCUUGGCGUGGUCUGGGGGGCCUUCGUCCAGCUCCAUGGUCUGGCAGGUUCUUGAGGGCCUGAGCCAAGAUUCUGCCAAAAGACUGCGCUUUGUGGCAGGGGUCAUCUUUGUUGACGAGGGAGCAGCCUGUGGCCAGAGCCUAGAGGAGAGAUCAAAGACCCUGGCCGAAGUGAAGCCCAUUCUGCAAGCAACUGGGUUCCCAUGGCACGUGGUGGCCUUGGAGGAGGUGUUCAGCCUGCCACCGUCGGUGCUUUGGUGCUCUGCCCAGGAGCCGGUGGGAUCCGAGAGGGCCUACAAGGCGGCCGUGGACAGCUUCCUCCAGCAGCAGCAUGUGCUGGGGGCCAGGGGUGGUCCUGGCCCGACUCAAGGGGAGGAACAGCCACCCCAGCCCCCACUGGACCCCCGGAGCCUGGCAAGACUGCCUGCCGCUGCCCAGACUGAGGCUCUUUCCCAACUGUUCUGCUCAGUGAGGACACUGACGGCCAAGGAGGAGCUUCUGCAGACCCUGCGGACCCACCUGAUCCUGCACAUGGCCCGAGCCCACGGCUACUCCAAGGUCAUGACUGGGGACAGCUGCACACGCUUGGCCAUCAAGCUCAUGACCAACCUGGCGCUGGGUCGAGGGGCCUUCCUGGCCUGGGAUACGGGCUUCUCGGAUGAGCGGCACGGGGAUGUGGUGGUGGUGCGACCCAUGCGGGACCACACCCUGAAGGAGGUCGCUUUCUACAAUCGCCUGUUCUCCGUUCCUUCUGUCUUCACACCAGCCGUCGACACCAAGGCCCCUGAAAAGGCCAGCAUUCACCGGCUGAUGGAGGCCUUCAUCCUCAGGCUGCAGACCCAGUUCCCCUCCACUGUCAGCACUGUGUACAGGACAAGUGAGAAGCUGGUGAAGGCCCCCCGGGAUGGCCCUGCUGCCGGCGACUCCAGCCCCCGCUGCCUCCUCUGCAUGUGUGCCCUGGACAUCGACGCCGCUGGUCUGUGUUUCAUGCUUUUGGGGUGAUGGGGGGAGGGAGCCAGGGAGUGGGCGUGGGGGCUCAGCAGCCCCAGGCUCCCUCAGUUCCUCUCUGCUUGCAGACAGUGCCACGGCUUUUGGGGCUCAGACCUCUUCACGUCUCUCCCAGAUGCAGUUGCCCAUCCCCCUGACUGAGACCCGGACACCCCCGGGGCCCUGCUGUUCUCCAGGGGUGGGCCGGGCCCAGGGCUGUGGCCAGGGGGCCUGCAGGAGGGAGGACCCCCAAGCCUGCAUUGAGGAGCAGCUGUGCUACAGCUGCCGUGUGAACAUGAAGGACUUGCCCUCACUGGACCCCCUGCCACCGUACAUCCUGGCCGAGGCCCAGCUCCGCACACAGAGGUACCGGGGCCCACACUGCUGUGGCGCGUGGGGCAGGGGCCUCGGGGCUGGUGCCCACUGCAGCUUUCUCUCUAGGGCCUGGGUCUUGCAGGAGAUCCGGGACUGUCUGAUUGAGGACAGUGACAACGAGGUGGGCCAGAGCUGAGCGUGAGGACGUGCUUGCCAAGACAGCAGGCGGUGGCCACCUGGUCCACCACACUGGAGCCGGAAGGCAAGGAUGGGGGACUGGCCUCUGAUUGUCCAUUUGUAUAAAUAAAACAUUUUUAAUUAAAAAAA